CGUUAAAAAAAGAUGAAAGGACAAAGUUAAAUGAUUUGGUUCAGUUAGACGAAUUACAAAUUGGACCAAUUCAGGUCGAUGAAGUUGAUGACCUGGCCUCUUUACUUGAACAUUUGACAGUCCUAAGAAUCGAAUACUAUCCCGAUACAAAAACGUUAUCUAAAUUAGCAAAAUAUUGUAGAAAUUUGCAAAAAUUAAGCUUAGAGGAUUAUGACAAUAGAUCCUUUAUGGAAAAGUUUUCUACGACAUGGAGAAUUCCAUAUUUUCCCAAAUUAACCUACUUGCACAUAUUUAAGGGAAGCUCGGCAAAUCCUUUUCUCUAUCACUUGGACAGUCGAUUCAAUAAUCAGCUUAAAGUUCUUAACAUUCCUUGCUUAACAAUGGGAAAACAGGAAAUCAAGCGUGUUGGUGAGUUUAAGGUUCUAAAGGAACUAUUCUGUAUGGAAAUACAGCCGAAUUCCAUUGAUGUACUUGUAAAAAUGCAACUGGAACGAAUCGAUUAUUGGAAUUCAAAUGAGUUAUCAUAAAUUCAUGUACUGCGCUUGGUGAAAGAAUCUACAUCGUUGACGAGUAUGAGAUGUUCAAUUAGGAACUUGAAUAAAAAGUUUUUUUGUGAUUUUCUGGAUAUAUUAGAAAGAAAGGGCUUUCAAGCUGACCGGCCAUUUCGGCUCAAUAUUUUAUUUAUCGAAAAUGACGAUCGAAAAAAAAAGUUAAUAGUUGAGUUUACAUCUAUACCGAAUUCAAAUCUAAUGAGCUUGACACUAAUUUAGAUUUAGAAAUAAAGUUCAAUUCUUAUUCACCUCUGUAAAUU